GUGAGCCAUCCUGUGGAGAGCUCCAAAUGAAGAGGAACUGAGGCCUCCCGCCCACAGUCAGCACCAAUGUGCCAACCAUAUGAGAACAGUGAGGCCACAGAGGAGUGGCAGAGGUAGAACUACAAGUCUGAUUUCCUGCCUGCUGGCUCAGCCCUUUUCCAGCUGCAUUAGGUUGACAUGACAGAAUCCCCCCAUCCCCUGCCAACACCACCACGCCCUGACAUAGCGCUCACCUUCAGCCUGACACAGCCCAGGGUCUCUCUACCACCUCCUGCACCCAGGAACGCCAGCCUCAGUGUACAGGGUUGAACCCCAGCCCCCAAGGGCCCACCUCGGGACACCCCCCCCCCAGAAAUGCCCUUGCUGGUUGAGUGGACCUUCAUAAUAGAUUGGCACGAGCUGGAGAAGAUACCCUUUGGCAUC